GAUGAACGCUGGCGGCGUGCUUAACACAUGCAAGUCGAACGGUGAAGCCAAGCUUGCUUGGUGGAUCAGUGGCGAACGGGUGAGUAACACGUGAGCAACCUGCCCUGGACUCUGGGAUAAGCGCUGGAAACGGCGUCUAAUACUGGAUAUGAGACGUGAUCGCAUGGUCAACGUUUGGAAAGAUUUUUCGGUCUGGGAUGGGCUCGCGGCCUAUCAGCUUGUUGGUGAGGUAAUGGCUCACCAAGGCGUCGACGGGUAGCCGGCCUGAGAGGGUGACCGGCCACACUGGGACUGAGACACGGCCCAGACUCCUACGGGAGGCAGCAGUGGGGAAUAUUGCACAAUGGGCGGAAGCCUGAUGCAGCAACGCCGCGUGAGGGAUGACGGCCUUCGGGUUGUAAACCUCUUUUAGCAGGGAAGAAGCGAAAGUGACGGUACCUGCAGAAAAAGCGCCGGUUAACUACGUGCCAGCAGCCGCGGUAAUACGUAGGGCGCAAGCGUUAUCCGGAAUUAUUGGGCGUAAAGAGCUCGUAGGCGGUUUGUCGCGUCUGCUGUGAAAUCCCGAGGCUCAACCUCGGGCCUGCAGUGGGUACGGGCAGACUAGAGUGCGGUAGGGGAGAUUGGAAUUCCUGGUGUAGCGGUGGAAUGCGCAGAUAUCAGGAGGAACACCGAUGGCGAAGGCAGAUCUCUGGGCCGUAACUGACGCUGAGGAGCGAAAGGGUGGGGAGCAAACAGGCUUAGAUACCCUGGUAGUCCACCCCGUAAACGUUGGGAACUAGUUGUGGGGACCAUUCCACGGUUUCCGUGACGCAGCUAACGCAUUAAGUUCCCCGCCUGGGGAGUACGGCCGCAAGGCUAAAACUCAAAGGAAUUGACGGGGACCCGCACAAGCGGCGGAGCAUGCGGAUUAAUUCGAUGCAACGCGAAGAACCUUACCAAGGCUUGACAUACACCAGAACGGGCCAGAAAUGGUCAACUCUUUGGACACUGGUGAACAGGUGGUGCAUGGUUGUCGUCAGCUCGUGUCGUGAGAUGUUGGGUUAAGUCCCGCAACGAGCGCAACCCUCGUUCUAUGUUGCCAGCACGUAAUGGUGGGAACU
rnacentral:rRNA from 1 species